rnacentral:ncRNA from 22 species
GUGAAUAGAAAAACAUAAGGUUUGACUUAUAUUAAAAGUGUUAAUAUAUAAAAGUCGAUUAAAAGGGAAAUGGGUUAGAGUCCCAUACGGUCCCGCCGCUGUGAAUGAGGAGUUCUUAUGUAUAGUCCACUGGGAAGCCGGGAAGGAACAUAGGAAUGAUGAUGCUUAGUCAGAAUACCUGCCUUAUCGUUUAGUAAUAAG